UUUCUUAUUUGGUUGAUGAUAAUGAUGUGGAACACUACCGUACUUUUGCUGGCCACCAUUGGAGGUUGCUUUGAGAAGACUUGGCUUUUAGCAUUAAUAAGCUCUCUCUCUUCCUCUGCUGGUGAAAAGUAGUGAAGAUUGAGUAAGAAAAUGGGUAGUUUCAAAACUGUUUGUGUCUUCUGUGGAAGUAAGUCAGGGAACAAAAAAAUAUUCAGCGAUGCAGCCCUUGAUCUUGGAAGAGAACUGGUGGAGAGAAAGAUGGAUCUGAUUUAUGGAGGAGGAAGUUUUGGGCUUAUGGGUUUGGUCUCUCAAACUGUUUUCAACGGUGGAUGUCAUGUUCUUGGAGUCAUUCCAACAGCUCUUGUUCCACAUGAGAUAUCAAGCCAUGCAGUGGGGGAAGUAUUAGUUGUCUCAGACAUGCAUGAACGUAAGGCUGAGAUGGCACGCCGGGCAGAUGCUUUCGUCGCAAUCCCGGGUGGAUAUGGAACUAUGGAGGAGUUGCUUGAGAUGAUAACCUGGUCUCAGCUUGGAAUCCACAACAAACCAGUUGGUCUUCUAAAUGUUGAUGGAUAUUAUGACUGCUUGCUUGGACUGUUUGACAAAGGUGUUGAGGAAGGUUUCAUAAAGCCUUCUGCGAGGGACAUUGUGAUCUCUGCUGAGAACCCCAGAGAACUGAUAGAGAAAAUGCAGGGGUGUCAACAUCCAAUCCAAACCGGUUGGAUCGGCUAAAACUGAAUAAAAACCCAAACCGACAAAUCAGACCGAAGCAACCGUUUUAACACCACCUACCGUAUUAUUACAAAAUUGAAGUUUUGGAAUAUACACCAAUGCAUGAACAAGUUGCAGCUAGUAAAUCCUGGAAAGUGGAAGCACCUGACAUUCCCACCUCCUGAAGAACUGUUGCAUUUUGUGUACUAUUUUUUUUUUCCUUUUUCACUCAAUAUCAUUACUGAAUUUGAAUGGGACAUGACCAUUCAAGUUUUUUA